UAGAUUACUCGGCCUGCGCGCCACGUAAACUUGGUAGUUUUUAGGGUCAACAGGUUCACAAGUCAGAGCUCAAAGAAACGAAUUCAAACUGAAGAUGUCAUAGAGAUAUAGCCGGGGUCUCUGUCAUCUGAAAACGUACGUAAAUGUUAAAAUUUGGCUCUUGAAGAUUGGUGAUUGGUUUGCUAAUAACAAGGAAUGAUUGAGAAAUAAUCUGCACUCGGCAGACCGGUGACCUAAUCACUAAUAGGAUUUGGCCAAAGCAUUCUCUUUCUGCCAACGGUGGAAAGUAUAAUUUUAUAUACGUACGGAGUAAUGAUAUUCAUACCAUGUUUUUAUAUUAUAUUUCUAUACCACUUUAGGUGGCAUCUGAUGUCGAGAACCACAUCAUUUGAAAAUUUACAAAACCCAAGGAAAAAAAGGAGAAAGACUCCAUGUAUAUCACAAUUAUCAUUUAAUUAACUAGUUUUUCUUAAUUAUUAGUUUAUUAAAUAAUGAACUAAAUUUAAAAAUCUGAUUAAUUCAAAUGAUGUGACUAUCCACAUCAAAUGCCACCUAAAGUGGUAUGAAAAUAUGGUAUAAAAACAUGGUAUGAAUAACAUUACUCAUACGUACAUGAUUUGAACUCCAGGAUAAAUGCCUGUGUUCGUAAGUACAUAUUAAUUCUAAUGUGAUUCCUGUAUUGUUUGGUUAGAGUAUGCUGUGGAUUUGAUCUCCAAAUUAUUAAGGAAAAAUAAUUCCUUCAACUAUUUUUGACAGUCAUCACAACUUCAGCUUCUUUUGCGUCACAAAUCACAUCCCUCUCAGGACGCAUGGUUUCAAUAGUCAGGAUUAGAGUCUUCUACAUAGUGGCUAAGAGGGAAACUCUUCUUUCUUCAGCAUAGCGCUUUGAGAAAACACUCAGGCCCAUUGCUUUCACAACACUU
rnacentral:lncRNA from 1 species